CAGCAACAACAACAACAAAAACCCUGGCGUGCCAGUCCCUAAUCCAGUUUACCCCUGUCAGAGUCCGUUAAAGACAGGAAGUUCUACUUUCAUUUCCAGGCACCUAUGAGACUGCAGAGAUGAUGCCUCUUGUGAAGAUGACAGCUGUCCAGAAACUGGAUUUCUGCCACCAUCUCAUUUCAAAGAGGCCACCAAACAGCUGUUAGGAGGCAAGAGUGUCCAUUUGCUACUGACCUGAGAAUUAUUCACCUCUGAAAAUAUCCAAAUUGUGGGAAUGUUAUGAACCGGGAGUUCACAAAGAACAGAGCAGAAUACUGUCUCAUCAUGACGUGUGCACACUCCUCCAGGAUAGAGAGGUCUCAGGAUGAACGAUUUGAACUCACCCUCUUCUGAGUCUGGCAUAACUGUCUUCUGAG